rnacentral:rRNA from 1 species
CCUACGGGAGGCAGCAGUGGGGAAUAUUGCACAAUGGGGGAAACGCUGAUGCAGCGACGCCGCGUGAGUGAAGAAGUAUUUCGGUAUGUAAAGCUCUGUCAGCAGGGGAGAAAAUGACGGUACCUGACCAAGAAGCCCCGGCUGACUACGUUGCAACAGCCGCGGUAAUACGUAGGCCCCCGCCGUGAUCCGGAUUUACUGGGGGUAAAGGGAGCGUAGACGGCAGGGCAAGUCUGGAGUGAAAGGGGGGGGCUCAACCCCCGGACUGCUCUGGAAACUGGCAGGCUGGAGUGCAGGAGAGGUAAGUGGAAUUCGUUGUGUAGCGGUGAAAUGCGUAGAUAUGAGGAAGAACACCAGUGGCGAAGGCGGCUUACUGGACUGUAACUGACGCUGAGGCUCGAGAGCGUGGGGAGCAAACAGGAUUAGAUACCCCAGUAGUC